GACGAACGCUGGCGGCGUGCUUAACACAUGCAAGUCGAACGGGCCCGCCCUUUUGUUUGGGGGGCGGGUGGAUAGGCGAAGGGGAGAGUAUCAUGUGAGUAACCUGCCCCCUGCUCCUGGAUAACAGUUUGAAAGGGCGGCUAAUAGGGGGUGUGCCGGCUGGUCCGCAUGGGCCUGCGCGGGAUAGUUUCAUCUUCGGGGGUAUCGCUGGGGGAGGGGCCUGCGUCUUACCAGGUUGUGGGGGGGGUGAUUGACCACCAAGGCGGGGCCGGGUCGCCGGACUGCGAGGGUGGGCGGCCAGACUGGGACGGAGACACGGCACAGAGUCCUGCGGGCGGGAGCAGUGGGGGGUAUUGCAGAAUGGGCGGAAGCCUGAUGCAGCGACGCCGCGUGAGGGAUGGAGGCCUUCGGGUUGUGAAUCUCUUUCUCCGGUGGGGAAGGCCCCGCCCUUGGUGGUGGGGUUGACGGUAGCCGCGUAUGAAGCGCCGGCUAACUACGUG
rnacentral:rRNA from 1 species